GAGACCGGCUUGGGCCUCAAGCCCACACGCGGGUAGCUGAAGGCAGCUCUAAUCAGCGCCUGGACUCAGUCACACGAGAAUUCCUCUUUUCCACUCUCAAUUUUGCAUUUCUUCACCAUGAAUAACAUUGCGACACCGCGUCCAGCUCUAGUCUUAGGCUUCCACACCAAAUCUCCCCCAACAUCGAAAUCCUCAUUCAUCUUGUCCAAACCGAAUUUGACAGAUCCACGCCAAAAUUAAAUCUUCCACUCGACUCAUAUGCGCACGCAGAAUCGGAACGAAGUCAUGGAUGUGUUCAAGUGACUUAUGCUGAAUAAAUAAACAAGAAGCAGAGGAGCACUUACCAAACCUAAUCUUUGACGCGGUGGCUCUCCAGUGGUGGUGCGGGUGAAUGCCCAAGUUGGAUGCUACUUUUAUUGUUGACAUGAAACGAAAGAGUGUAGGAUGCACGGUGUCGGCAUGUUAUGAAACAUAUGUUUGACUUUUCUCUCCCUGAGUUUCUGGUAAUUUGGUUUUUCUCUCCAUGAAUUUGUCUAAGAAAGCUGUUACAACAGGUCAUUUUAUGGGUUUCCGUUAUGGGCGAUGUCGGCACCAGAAAGAAAGGUUCAUGCCAUGGCUACAACUGAAGGAUGUGCAGGUGAAGAAAGAACCAAUAACUCUCACCAGCUUACACGAUAUGCACUGCAAUAGGAGGGCUCUCGGUGUCAUGGGUCAUAGCCUCUAAGAAACAAAGGCUCUUUGGUAGGUUCUUGCAGCUUCUGACCUUUAUUAUCAAGUUCAGACUUUGACUCGUUAUUAUUCUCUUUACUUUUUGCAAACGAAACCUUCGUCAAGAUCCGUGAUCAUCUUCGGAAGAUGCCGAUUGAUCAUCAUCACUGUUUCUGGAGGAAUAUGAGUCAUAAUAUGCAACCUCUCCAUCCUGAAGUACAUUUUCUUUUUUAUCAGCUAUAGUUAUAGGCUCUUUAUCCGUCUCUUCUAUAACAGUCACUGUAUGACCCCAAUUUUGACCCUGAGAUCCCUCAUGCUCUUAUCAUCAUAUACCUUAGCAUUGAGAUCACACCUUGGCAUCCUCCUUACCCCUCAUUUAUUGGGUUUGCAUUGGGAGAGAUCACCAAACACAUUUGAUUGUGUCAUACUUCAUUUUCUCUCUAUUUACUAACAAAAAUACCAAAAAUAUGUCAUUGUAUAGUUUAACUCUUUUGUAGGCAGUCCACAUGCUCACAUUUGAUCUAUCAAGCUCAUAUCUAGGGUUUAAGACCCUAAUUGAAAUGAGUUCAACCAAGAUUUGGUCUACUAUGGCUCUAAGUAUCAUAUAUGGAUCCCCAUGUUCUUCAUAUGUUAUUUUGAUCAAGAAAUCAUUAAGAGUUUGGAAUUGGUUUGCCUUGGAAACCCUAAUUCAUCUAGGUAUCUUACGUAACUUCUUCAACAUGUUUCUUCAACAAUUGAUCAAAUAUUUCAAGGGAUACUUCAUAUUUCAUCAUCUUAUGCAUAUAUGAUCCUCCACGAGUCCCAAAAGUCUAAAGAAUAUCAAGUUAGCAAGUUGGUUCAUGGUUGUUGACCAGAGGAAUUCAACUGAUCAAAACUGGGGUUCCCUAGACCCUAUCUCCUACAAUUUUUAUCAUAUGAAAAUGAUUCCAAGAGAAACUUUACUCUAUAUGACAUUACAAACAACUUUCAUGUUGAGGUCUAGAGCUAGUUUUUCUUGUAAAGUCAUUUAUUAUGAUGAAAGAUUAUAUGUCAUUUUGUCUAAACCCUAACUUGGAGGUCAACUUUCCAAAAUCAUAAUUUGCUCAAUUUUUAUGAGAUGAAAGCCAUUAAAGUUGCAUGAUCAAAUUCAAUAUGUCUACUUCAACUUUUAUGUUUGGAGGAAGUGCAAAUUCAACUUUUAAAUGCAUGUGAUAUAAGGAGACAUUAUAGGUCAUUUUGGGCUAGUACUAUUGAAAAAGUGAUUUUCCUCAACUUCUAAAAUGUAUAACUCCUUCAUGCUAAAUCCAAAUAAUGUCAAAUUUGUGACCAAUUUGAAGGACUUUGAGAUAUCUACAACUUUUAUGAAGGAACGUUUCUCAUUUGAAGCCUAUAGAAAAAGUUGCUCAAGGUGGAAGAAAUGAACAUAUGGCUUGGUACUUAGAAUUUUUUUAUAUGUUUUAUUUUCCAAACUUCCACCUCAAAAUUCAUCAUGAUUCAAGCUUCAAAUGAAAAAGUGUUCAACAUGAAAGUUGUUCCUCUUGAUCUAACCUUUCCAAAAAGUCCAAAUUCAUCCCAUUUGGACAAAAUAUGAUUGACUUGCGCAUGACUUAAAGUUAAAUGACCAUUUUGCAUGUUUGAACUUCCACUUUCCAUACACAAAUGCAUGGCUUGUUAACAUGACUUCAGCAUUGCUUGCACAUGAUUUUAGACCUGAGUGCAUCAUUACAUGGGCCUAUCACACGCCCAUGCAUCCAUGCAAAGACAUUUUACUAUUUUUGAAAGUUUAAAAGAAGUGUGCAAAUAUCAUUGCCUUGGGCUAUAAAUAGAAGCUCUUCCACUCAGAAUUGAGGACCUUUGCGCGCUAGCUUUGAAUCUCUAACCCUAAACCUCCACAUUCAAAGGACAACCUUGAGGAUUUUCAUUGAAAAUCGAGUUUGAAUCUCCCACUGUUUUGAGAUUUAAAACUCCAAGAUUCCUGCUUCUUUCUUGAUCCAUUUCCACUCCAUCAAGCAUCCAGAACAAGGCCAAACACAAUUGAGAGCAAGAUCGUGUCCAUUUGAACCUGCAGUGAAGGUGAAUUUCUGAAUUUUUUGUCUCUUCGAUUCUCACUCAAUUCUUCAUAAUUCUUGUUGAUUUUUGGUUGUCUGAAGUCCUACCACUGUAGGCAACAAGAUUGAGUUGCUUUGAGGUCAAAUCGAAGCAACUCAGAUCAUGAUCCUCAAAAUUCAACUCACUGUAUCAUUCUAUAUACUUAGAGUUAGGUAAAAUUGAGGCCAGAUUCGAGCUCCUGAGCAUUUUUACUUUAAAUUCAUGUCCUCCUUUUUCAUUUUGGUGAUGGUUGAGGGUGGACCAGUCCAGUGAGGUCCACCGGAGAAGAAGACCGGAGCUCUGACUCCGGCGAUUCGUUGGCAUGUCUCAAAACCACAUGAUCCUCUUAUUUUGUUUUAAUCUUGAGUGUCCAAAUUGAUUACCACGCGUGUGGCAUAUUGACUAAAGUCCAUCAUGGAACACGCGCUCUGAUCCACUUGAUCUGCCACCUCAAUUAAUGAGGGAGAUUAAGUGGUCCACAUUUUUUUAGCAUUUUCUGAUUUUCAUUUUAUUUGAGUUAUUUUCAUUAAUUCAUAUUAAUUUUAAUAUUGAUCCAAAAAAUAUGGGACUUUCACCAAAAAUUCUCAAAUAUUUUUCUCUUUCAUUUUCUGAAUUAAAAUUAUUUUUUGGAUCAAUAUUAAUAUUUUUCAUGAUUUAAUUGUUUUUUUACAUAUUUUUAAUUGUUUAAAAAUACUUUUAAGUUUCCAAAAAUAAUGAAAUUUUUUCUCCAAGGUCCUUUGACCUUGUUUUACCUAUGAUAAAUCUCAUGACCAUUUAUUUGGUGUUUUGAUGAGGUUUUAGAAUUUUGACCAACCAUAAUUUAAUUUAAUGCAUUUUUAAUUGAUUUUUAAUUGUUUAAUUGCAAAUAAAUUGUGUUGAGCUAUUUGUGUUGACUUGUUGAGUUUGACUAUUGUUAUUAGGCAUUGAUCAAGGUUGAUUUGACUUUGUUGAGUUAAAAUCAUUGGAUUUAGGGGAUUAGUGAAAUGGACAUUUCAUCUCCCAAAAUGAAUGAAUGAUUUUAAUUUGAUAAAAGUUCUCCUUUGACCAAUUUGUGUUGAUUUCAUCUCCCCUCUCUCUUCAUCACAAUCCCAUUAUAUCCUCAUCCAUUUCAUUGACCUAUGAUAUCUCUACAUCGUAAGGCCAGUUGAUUGCAAAAUCAACAUGAGUAUGGAUGAGAGUAGGUCCACCCCUUUUGCCAUUUUCUUUUAAGUGUGGUAUGUUUUAGGAGUAUGGUUCACAAUAUCAUAUCUGUAACAUGCAUUAACACCAAAAUUUAUAUUGCCCGACCUUAAAUAGUUGUGACUUCUACAUAAGUUCAAUUACGAUUGCUUAACAUAGCGUUAAAUUUUGACACAAAAGAGAUAACAUUCUAGUAAGUGAGAUUGUAAGUCUCCCCCCUUUCAUGGUAUUGUGUGGAAACUUGGCCUUUUUUCCUUCCUUUGGAAGAUGUCUUGGUUCAAGGAUUCAUGCUUGUGAAUAGUGGAUUGAGUGUUCUCCAAAGAAUGACUUAAACAUAAAAAAGCAAAAGCAAUACUAACUUCUAAUCAACUAACGUUUAACUAACAUUUAAUUUCAAGCUCUUUACUUUUAUGCACUUUAAAUUGAAGUCUUUAUUCAUUUGCCAUUAUUCAUACCAUUUAACUUAUUUAUUUUAAUGUCAUUUUCAUUUUGCUCACUUGAGCCUUACUUUGUGAUUAUAUUGUGAUUGUAUAUACGUGUUUGUGUA